AAAAAGAAAAGAAACAGCAAAGAGGAGACCAUGCGCUGGUUCCAGCAGAAAUAUGAUGAGAUCAUCCUUCCUGGCAAAUAAAUUCCUGUUUCCAUCUAAAAGGCCAAUAAAAAGUUUUCACUGAAAUGAGAAAAUGAAAAGCACAUUUCCAUCAUCCCUAAAGCAUCCCUCUUGUUUAUUGGUGGUCAAUCCCUGCUUCUUCCUAGGCAAUCCUUUGCCUAUUUGUCUCUAUAGAUUUACCUUUUUCUGGACAUUGAGUAGAAAUGAAAACCUGGAGUAUGAGGUCUUUGGGUAACUGGCCUCAUUCACUUGGUAAAAUGUUUAUAAGCUUCAACCAGGUCAUGGCAUGCAUUAGCAGUUUGUUUCUUUUUAUUGCUGAAAAAACACUCCAUUGUAUGAAUGUACCACAUUUUGUUUAGCCCUUCACCAGUUGGACUUUUGGAUUAUUUCUAGUUUUUGCUACUAUGAAUCAAGGUACUCUGAACAUCCCCUUUUAAGUCUUUACAAUCAGCUUUUUAAUUUUUUUUGUCUUUUGCCUUUUUAGGACCACACCCACAGCAUAUGGAGGUUUCCAGGCUAAGGAUCAAAUAGGAGCUGUAGCUGCCGGCCUACACCACAGUCACAGCAACUUGGGAUCCGAGCCCUGUCUGUGACCUACACCACAGCUUAUGGCAACGCCGGAUCCUUAACCCACUGAGCAAGGCCAGGGAUCUAACCCACGUCCUAAUGGAUACUAGUCGGGUUCGUUAACCACUGAGCCAAGACAGGAACUCCCAUAGCUUGUUUUAUUUUCCUUCACUUUAUUGCACCUAGCAGACAUUAUGUCCUUAGCAAAUUGAGGCUUUGUGGCAACUGACCAACCAGCAAGUCUGUUUGCACCAUUUUUCCAACAACAUUUGUUCAUUUUAUGUCUUUGUGUCACAAUUUGGUAAUUCUCACAAUAUUUCAAACUUUUCCAUUAAUGAAAUGUCAGUUAAUAAUUCUACAAUGACCUCCAAGUGUUCAAGUAAAAGGAAGAGUCACACAUAUCUCACUUUAAAAGUGAGAAAUAAUUAAGCUUAGUGAGGAAGGCUUAAUGAAAGCCAUAACAGGCUAAAAGCUAGGUCUGUUGCAUCAAACAAGCAGCCAAAUUGUGAAUGCAAAGGUAAAGUUCUGGAAGAAAAUUUAAAUAGAUCAAACCAGCCACAACACUCUCUUAAGCCAAAGCCUAAUCCAGAGCAAGGCCUAACUCAUUUCAAUUCUGUGAAGGCUGAGAGAGGUGAGAAAGCUGCAGAAGAAAAGUUUGAAUCUAGCAGAGGUGGUUUUAUGAACUUUAAAGAAAGUCAUCUCUAUAACAUAAAAGCAUAAGGUGAAGUAUCAAGUGCUGAUAUAGAAGCUGUACAAGUUAUCCAGAUGAUAUACCGAACAUAAUUCAUUUAAGGUGGUUAUACAAAACAUGCAGAGGAAAUAGCCUUAAAUUCAAAAUGGCUUAAAGACUUAAACAUAAGACAAGACACCAUAAAACUCCUUGAAGAGAACAUAAGCAAAAUAUUCUCUGAUGUCAACCAUACAAAUGUUUUCUUAGGUCAGACUCCCAAGACAACAGAAAUAAAAGGAAAAAUAAACCAAUGGGAUCUAAUCAAACUGAUAAGCUUUUGCACAGAAAAGGCUAUUUAAAAAAAAGAUGACCUAUGGAAGGGACAAAAUAGUUUCAAACAAUGCAACUGACAAAGGCUUAAUCUCUAAAAUACACAAACAACUUAUACAACUCAACCACAAAAAAACCAACAACCCAAUUGAUAAAUGGGCAAAAGACCUGAAUAGAUAAUCCUCCAAAGAAGAUAUACAGAUGGCCAACAGACAUAUGAAAAAAUGUUCAACAUCACUAAUUACUAGAGAAAUGAAAAUCAAAACUACUAUGAGAUACCACCUCACACAGUCAGAAUGGCCAUCAUUAACAAGUCAACAAAUGACAAAUGUGGAGAGGGUGUGGAGAAAAGGGUACCCUCCUACACCAUUGGUAGGGAUGUAAAUUGGUACAACCACUAUGGAAAACGUAUGGCAGUACCUCAGAAAACUAAAUAUAGAACUACCAGAUGAUCUAGCAAUCAUACCCUGGGGACAUACCUGGACAAAACUUUCCUUGAAAAAGAUACAUGCACCGAUAUGUUCAUUGCAGCACUAUUCACAAUAGCAAAGACAUGGACAUAACUUAAAUGUCCAU
rnacentral:lncRNA from 1 species